AACGAACGCUGGCGGCAUGCCUAACACAUGCAAGUCGAACGAGACCUUCGGGUCUAGUGGCGCACGGGUGAGUAACGCGUGGGAACCUGCCCUUAGGUUCGGAAUAACUCCCCGAAAGGGGUGCUAAUACCGGAUAAUGUCUUCGGACCAAAGAUUUAUCGCCUUUGGAUGGGCCCGCGUUGGAUUAGCUAGUUGGUAGGGUAAAAGCCUACCAAGGCGACGAUCCAUAGCUGGUCUGAGAGGAUGAUCAGCCACACUGGGACUGAGACACGGCCCAGACUCCUACGGGAGGUAGCAGUGGGGAAUAUUGGACAAUGGGCGAAAGCCUGAUCCAGCAAUGCCGCGUGAGUGAUGAAGGCCUUAGGGUUGUAAAGCUCUUUUACCCGGGAUGAUAAUGACAGUACCGGGAGAAUAAGCUCCGGCUAACUCCGUG
rnacentral:rRNA from 1 species